rnacentral:rRNA from 1 species
GGAAGUGUGGUAACGCAUGGAGCUGACUGUUACUAAUCGGUCGAGGCUUUAACCAAA